rnacentral:lncRNA from 1 species
ACAAAAAUGUCUGCAUAUUACCCAAGUUUAUUCUUCACAUUUUUCUUCACUAAGUACUUUUUUUUGGUAAAAGGCUAAAUUUGAACUUAAUUCACAAAAAUAUAGUAAAUACGCAUCAAAAUAUUGUGAAGAAAAUUGGCUUUCUUUUUAUACAGACAUUAGAACCAAGCCAAUAUUUCAAGUCGAAUUAAAAGGUCACCGAAUCUUGGCUUUCUUCGAACCGCAAGACUUGACCUUGACCUUGGUCAACUGAAUCUCCAUCUGACUCAAGUGAAGCUCUAUCUGAAAACGAAUAUCCCAUUUAAACAUGUUUACAGACAGAACAUUAUUUACCUCACGUUCCCUAAGAGCUAACGAAGUGCCUGCAAUUUCAGUCUCUUCAGUCUCUGUGUGACGUUCUGCCACUCAGGUGUGUCUAUGACUUGGAUUGGACCAUACCAGCCUCAAAAUAUCGUACCUCCAAUCGAACAAAUUGUCCGAGCAUUAUACAACAUUUUACACGUAACUUUUUUACCGAGCUUUUACAUUUACCGAGGUGUCAGCAAAGUUUCCCGUCGCCAGAAAGUGCCAAAGUUCUCCUCCUUUUUAAUCUUCUAAUUUAUAACCUGCGUUAGCCAGAAAAUAAAAGAAUUACCAUCUCUUACAUAUAUUUGUAACCAAAAUCGUAAUUAAAGAGCAUUUAUAUAUUCGUACUCUGUAAAUUUGAUACUUAGAGGAGCUAAAGUCAAUUCUACCAAUGUUACUAGCGAGUUUGGAAAGAAUAAGAUCAAUGCUAAACAGACUAAAGCUACACAUUAAUGUUGUUGAUGACCGAGAGAGACUAGAGAGUUAACUUUUUACGACUGUAUUGGCUUUUAAAGACAACGAUAAGAAGAAGGGAAGCUAGGAUAUAAUAAACUUACCAUCAAACAUUACGUCCAAGGGGAAGAN